CGCGUAGGCGGCGGCAGAAGUUCCGGGUGAAAGCCCCCGGCUCAACCGGGGAAGGUCCUGGAAAACCAUGCGGCUGGAGUGCUGGAGAGGCCAGCGGAAUUUCGGGUGUAGCGGUGAAAUGCGUAGAUAUCCGAAGGAACACCGGAGGCGAAGGCGGCUGGCUGGACAGACACUGACGCUGAGGCGCGAAAGCCAGGGGAGCAAACG
rnacentral:rRNA from 1 species